CAUCAAACUAACUCCUAUCAAUUGUGUGUAAAAUUUUGGAGGCAAAGAAUGAAGUCAUGUUGUUAUUGGAUCACUGGAAACAAGCUGAUUUGAUCCGUUGGUCAUUCUUAAAGCAGCACAAUGAUGAAGUGGCAUGAUUAAGUUGAAAAGAAGGCAGGUAGCAGUAGAAAGUGAGCUAAAGGAAAUGCAGGGUAGGAGGUACUCAGAACUCAGCAUGCAGUUUGCCGAAGUGGAGGGAGAAAGGCAGAAGCUGAAAAUGGGAGUAAAUUUUGUAGGUUGCUUUCAUUGGGUUUCAUUCAUUAGUUUCUGAAAGCAUCAAGAAAACUCUGCAAGUCCACAUAAGAUUUUUGAUUAGGUGGCAGAGAGAGGGAGUGGGGAGAGAGAACAAGAUAUGGGAUUGCAUAUUAGCCUAUCCUGUCCUGAACUACUAAUACCAAUUUCAAGCUCCGAUUAGUUUGCAAAAAUUAGGGGAAACGGCAGCCUUGAGCCUAUCGUUCUUAGAUGGUUUAUGGUCUUUGUCUAGCAUUUCUUAAGAUGAUCCAUCAAAAUUCAAUGUAUGAUCCCAUAAAGUUGUGCUUUUACUCUAUA